AGGCCUUUAGUUUAAUGGUAAAAUUCUUCUUCGUCAAGGAAUGUAAUAUCGGUUCAAAUCCGGUAAGGCCUG